rnacentral:rRNA from 1 species
GACAGAGGGUGCAAACGUUGUUCGGAAUUACUGGGCGUAAAGCGCGUGUAGGCGGCCCUGCAAGUCGGAUGUGAAAUCCCACGGCUCAACCGUGGAAGUGCAUUCGAAACUGCAGGGCUAGAGUCCUGGAGAGGAAGGUGGAAUGCUUGGUGUAGAGGUGAAAUUCGUAGAUAUCAAGCGGAACACCGGUGGCGAAGGCGGCCUUCUGGACAGUGACCGACGCUGAGGCGCGAAAGCGUGGGGAGCAAACAGG